rnacentral:miRNA from 4 species
AAUACUGCCGGGUAAUGAUGGA